UACGUAGGCUGCAAGCGUUGUUCGGAAUUACUGGGCGUAAAGGGUGUGUAGGCGGUGCUUUAAGUUUGGUGUGAAAUCUCCCGGCUUAACUGGGGGGGUGCGCCGGAAACUGGAGUGCUUGAGCGCGGGAGAGGAAAGCGGAAUUCCUGGUGUAGCGGUGAAAUGCGUAGAUAUCAGGAGGAACACCUGUGGUGUAGACGGCUUUCUGGACCGUAGCUGACGCUGAGACACGAAAGCGUGGGUAGCAAACAGG
rnacentral:rRNA from 1 species